GCCACAGCGCCCCCUGCCGCCGCGGAGGAGAGCCCGGCGCGGGCGGCCGCUCGCUUUCCCGGGGACUGGCUGGGGAUUCCCGUCUUAGGGUCCACCCAGGGGUGAGCGGACACUGUGCUUUGUCUAAGGCUCUCGCCAGUGCUGCUCCCCUCUGUUUGGCCUUGGCCUGUUUUGCUUUCCUGCACUCCUUAUACGCUGAGAUGCUACUGUAGAGGGUACAGAGAUUAGUCCAGCACUUAUGGUGUGGUUGUCGGGGUGCAAGUACGGGGCAAAGUGAGGACCUGGGACAUGGUCCCUGGCAGAGUCCAUCACGGUGGCGGAGAAGAACAGUGCUGCUCUCUUGCUGAUGAAACCCCAGUGAAGCCUCAUGAGCACAGUUUCCCUGCAUAGCCAAGCGACAGUAUUUCAGAGGAGAAAGACUGAGGCCAAGAGGAGCCAAGGAAUUUGCUCCAGGGCCCACAGGAGAAAGCAGAGAAGCCAGGAGUGAAAUGCAGGAGUGUGGGAGAGACGUGAAGAUAUGUCCCUCACAACCCCACACUGCCUUUGGAAGGGAGUGGGCAGUGAGAGCCGAGACAUUUCAGGUGGACUGUGACUUGGGCAGACUUCCAAGAGGAGCUGAGAGGAAGGACAUUCCAAGCAGCCGGAACUUCCUGCUUAAAAGGAAGAAAGGACACAGACAAGUGUGUGGUACAGGGCAAGCAAGGCUGGAAAGAUCACACUAUGUACCUUGGACUGUCCUGAACUCACAGUGAUCCUCCUCCCUCAGCCUCCUAAGUACCAGGAUUACAAGCAUGUCCUGCGCCACCUGGCAAUGCAGCUUAUUUUCUACUGAGGGGUAACAAAUAACUAAAAUAAACUAUUUUCUCUUUUAUUUUGAAUACAUUCGCUGCUCAGAGAAGGUACACACUGGUUACCCAUAGCUUUUCUUUUUCUUUUUCAGGUUUCUAGGAACUUUUUUUUUUUUUCCUGAGAAAUGCAGACCCUCACCAUUUUGGCUUUUAUUCACUUAAAUAAGAACACUGUUCUCCCAAUUUAGCUUUUCAGUAGCUUGAAUUACAGUCCACCACAGAGAUCCCAAGCUGCAGUACUGAUUGGAUGCUGCAUUAGAAUGUUUUCUGCAAUCAAUAGACAUUUACCUAAGCCACAUUAAUUAACAAGAAAAAAAGCUGAAGGCACUUUAUCAUAAGGAUACACUGUUCAGAGCCCAGGAAACAGGAACUGGGUUCUCUGGACUUAAUAUUUGCCUAUUUCUCUUCCCAUCUCCAGAUGGACUGUCCCCCAGCUCCUCUAUGUAGCUGAAGAGACUAAGGUCACAUGGCCCUGAGUGUAGAGGCAGCAGAUCUAGCUGUACUUGAGACAGCCUCACAGUCUACGGUUUAUGACACAACCUGCCCAGAAUGGAGUUGGUAGAACAGACACGGCCGCCUAGGACCCAUCCCUGCCAUUAGCUCUUUCCUAGAGAGCAGCCAUGUGGAGAUCAGGUAGAUCCUCCAAAGGGUAGGAUGGGCGCAGAGGAACGAGUUCUUAAUGGAAUGUGGUUCUAUGCGAACACAGCAGAGAUAAUGAGAGGUUCUGUUCUACACAGCUCUGAAGGCAAUGGUCCAGGUGAUGCAAAUCCUUUGUGGAAACGCUUGUUAUGACUGAUCUCUCAGUAAGCUAUGCAAUUUCAAUUUCUUAAUAAAGACCAAAUUAUCAACUUUG